GAUCAGCCACACUGGAACUGAGACACGGUCCAGACUCCUACGGGAGGCAGCAGUGGGGAAUAUUGGACAAUGGGCGCAAGCCUGAUCCAGCCAUACCGCGUGGGUGAAGAAGGCCUUCGGGUUGUAAAGCCCUUUUGUUGGGAAAGAAAUCCAGCUGGCUAAUACCCGGUUGGGAUGACGGUACCCAAAGAAUAAGCACCGGCUAACUUCGUGCCAGCAGCCGCGGUAAUACGAAGGGUGCAAGCGUUACUCGGAAUUACUGGGCGUAAAGCGUGCGUAGGUGGUCGUUUAAGUCCGUUGUGAAAGCCCUGGGCUCAACCUGGGAACUGCAGUGGAUACUGGGCGACUAGGAUGUGGUAGAGGGUAGCGGAAUUCCUGGUGUAGCAGUGAAAUGCGUAGAGAUCAGGAGGAACAUCCAUGGCGAAGGCAGCUACCUGGACCAACAUUGACACUGAGGCACGAAAGCGUGGGGAGCAAACAGGAUUAGAUACCCUGGUAGUCCACGCCCUAAACGAUGCGAACUGGAUGUUGGGUGCAAUUUGGCACGCAGUAUCGAAGCUAACGCGU
rnacentral:rRNA from 1 species